rnacentral:rRNA from 1 species
UACGAAGGGGGCUAGCGUUGCUCGGAAUCACUGGGCGUAAAGGGUGCGUAGGCGGGAUCUUAAGUCAGAGGUGAAAGCCUGGAGCUCAACUCCAGAACUGCCUUUGAUACUGGGAUUCUUGAGUUCGGGGAGAGGUGAGCGGAACUGCGAGUGUAGAGGUGAAAUUCGUAGAUAUUCGCAAGAACACCAGUGGCGAAGGCGGCUCACUGGCCCGAUACUGACGCUGAGGCACGAAAGCGUGGGGAGCAAACAGG